UACGAAGGGGGGCUAGCGUUGCUCGGAUUGACUGGGCGUAAAGGGCGCGUAGGCGGUUCGUACAGUCAGACGUGAAAUUCCUGGGCUCAACCUGGGGGCUGCGUUUGAUACGUGCGGACUUGAGUGCGGAAGAGGGUCGUGGAAUUCCCAGUGUAGAGGUGAAAUUCGUAGAUAUUGGGAAGAACACCGGUGGCGAAGGCGGCGACCUGGUCCGAUACUGACGCUGAGGAGCGAAAGCCAGGGGAGCAAACGGG
rnacentral:rRNA from 1 species